rnacentral:rRNA from 1 species
GACGAACGCUGGCGGCGUGCUUAACACAUGCAAGUCGAACGGGCCUGUCUUCUUUUUUGGGGGUGGGUUGAGUGGCGAACGGGUGAGUAUCACGUGAGUAACCUGCCCUUCGGUCCUGGAUAACCGCUUGAAAGGGCGGCUAAUACGGGGUGGUCCGGUUGGUCCGCAUGGGCUGGUCGGGAUAGAUUCACUGUUUUUGGGGUUUCGGCGGGGGAUGGGCUCGCGGCCUAUCAGCUUGUUGGGGGGGUGAUGGCCUACCAAGGCGGUGACGGGUAGCCGGCCUGAGAGGGUGGGCGGCCACACUGGGACUGAGAUACGGCCCAGACUCCUGCGGGAGGCAGCAGUGGGGGGUAUUGCACAAUGGGCGGAAGCCUGAUGCAGCGACGUCGCGUGAGGGAUGGAGGCCUUCGGGUUGUGAACCUCUGUUUCCGGUGGUGAAGGCCCUGUCCGUGUGGUGGGGUUGACGGUAGCCGGGGAUGAAGCGCCGGCUAACUACGUG